ACAUCCAGAGAAUUUAGCAGAGAUGCUUUAGUGCCUUCGGGAACUCUGAGACAGGUGCUGCAUGGCUGUCGUCAGCUCGUGUUGUGAAAUGUUGGUUAAGUCCCGNAACGAGCGCAACCCUUAUCCUUUGUUGCCAGCACGUAAUGGUGGGAACUCAAAGGAGACUGCCGGUGAUAAACCGGAGGAAGGUGGGGAUGACGUCAAGUCAUCAUGGCCCUUACGAGUAGGGCUACACACGUGCUACAAUGGCGCAUACAAAGAGAAGCGACCUCGCGAGAGCAAGCGGACCUCAUAAAGUGCGUCGUAGUCCGGAUUGGAGUCUGCAACUCGACUCCAUGAAGUCGGAAUCGCUAGUAAUCGUAAAUCAGAAUGUUACGGUGAAUACGUUCCCGGGCCUUGUACACACCGCCCGUCACACCAUGGGAGUGGGUUGCAAAAGAAGUAGAUAGCUUAACCUUCGGGAGGGCGUUUACCACUUUGUGAUUCAUGACUGGGGUGAAGUCGUAACAAGGUAGGCGUAGUGCU
rnacentral:rRNA from 1 species